CCCUUAGAUGUUCUGGGCCGCGCGCGUGCUACACUGAGUGGAUCAGCGGGUCAGGUUGCGCGAAAGUGUUUCCUAAUCUUUAAAUCCGCUCGUGAUGGGGAUUGACGGUUGCAAUUUUCCGUCAUGAACGAGGAAUACCUUGUAAGCGCGGGUCAUCAUCCCGCGCUGAAUACGUCCCUGCCCUUUGUACACACCGCCCGUCGCUCCUACCGAUUGAGUGGUCCGGUGAGGCUUUGGGAUCUGAGCGGAAAGAGCGUUUCGCUGUUUCUGCCCGGAAAACUCAGUCGAACCUUAUCAUUUAGAGGAAGGAGAAGGCGUAACA
rnacentral:rRNA from 1 species